rnacentral:rRNA from 1 species
UGGGGAAUAUUGCACAAUGGGCGCAAGCCUGAUGCAGCCAUGCCGCGUGUAUGAAGAAGGCCUUCGGGUUGUAAAGUACUUUCAGCGGGGAGGAAGGUGUUGUGGUUAAUAACCACAGCAAUUGACGUUACCUGCAGAAGAAGCACCGGCUAACUCCGUGCCAGCAGCCGCGGUAAUACGGAGGGGGCAAGCGUUAAUCGGAAUUACUGGGCGUAAAGCGCACGCAGGCGGUCUGUCAAGUCGGAUGUGAAAUCCCCGGGCUCAACCUGGGAACUGCAUCCGAAACUGGCAGGCUUGAGUCUUGUAGAGGGGGGUAGAAUUCCAGGUGUAGCGGUGAAAUGCGUAGAGAUCUGGAGGAAUACCGGUGGCGAAGGCGGCCCCCUGGACAAAGACUGACGCUCAGGUGCGAAAGCGUGGGGAGCAAACA